GUGAUUUGUGUUUUCCUUGCGCAACAAGCUUCUGGAAUUAUUUAUCGUUUAAAUGCUUCGGAAUAUGCGCGUCUGCCUCAGCUGUUCUUCUUGGAUAACUACCACAACUGUUUGACGGCUCCUGGAGACACCUACUGCUACUUGGACGCUAGACUUGUGACCAAUGAGACGAAUCAGCUGUUUACUGUCAUACAGGAAUUCUCGGCCUAUAACAAAACCCACUUCGACCACACGAUCGUCCACCGAGGCGUAUGCGUCACGCAGACGUGUCGUGAUUACCUCGACAACUCCACAGGCCUGGUUCCUACUGUUGAAGCCUGUCUCAAUGCUACGCUUUACAAGAGUCAUGG